rnacentral:sRNA from 1 species
AGUCCACACCCCUGCUCCGCCCACUCCCCUCCCGUAGGAAACUCCGAGACCCCGAAAGGGGUGACUCAACCGUGAUUCAACACCACCGCCGAGCACCCCUUCGGCGCAGGCGGAUCCAGGUACUGCGGAGACCCAGGCUCCCGGGCUGUUCCCUGGGUGACCACCCUAGGUGGUUUGCUGGGGAGAAAGGAGUUGCGCUGUUGGAGGGACCUAAGUUGAAAGUCAAGGGAGCCUUACUUUCACUCUGCUUUCGAUAUACGCUGAGCCCUCAGCAGAGGAUGUAUCAAAACUCCUGGACUAUCCCUGGUAGCCAAGGGCAGUUCCAAAGCCCAGCCUGAGCACCCGGUGGUUAGCAGAACAUUCAGUCCCUUGGUACGCUGUACAGGGCGGUGCAAUAAAUGCACGUGUCUGCCAUGGACAAGGCCCCUGGAUUAGGUCUAAAGGCCACUGGGCUCCCCGACUCCCAUUCCUGAAGUGAUUGAGGAACUGCAGCUUGAAGCCUGGGAGAAUUUGACCAAGACUUCAGUAGCCACGGGUUCCAGGAAGGCUGGUUCUUACGUUGAAGAGGACAGCAGUGGGUUGUAAUGAAUUCCUCCAAAGCACAGAGAAAGAAAAAAAUGAAACUGAAAAAAAAAAACAUUCGGACUUCCCAAUUUGUUUAUUUUUUUCCUUCCUAGACCCUGGGAAUGAAACCUACCCAUUUCAAGGACACCUCUGUCACUGAGCCUAGUGGCAGCCAGGUGUCACCUGCAAGCUUUGGAUUUUCUUCAUCUAUUUCCUGGCUUCCCCUUCUAGGCUUUAUUGGGAAGUUGGACCUGAGAAUAUCACUUAUCCUACCGCUAGCACUUACUCAACAUGGCGUCAGAAGGGACUUUUCCCUCCUGACCUCACCUUCUCCUCCUCCCAAUGGAGCAAAGGAAGAUGGCAUCAAGAAAACUGUUCAAGGAAUGAGUUUUCCAUCCACAGACAGAGGACACUGCAGCAGGUAAAAGGCAAAAUAUGAGAAAAAGCCAGAGGAACCUCAGAGUUAGUGAGAACGAGGAGUUCUGAGUGGGGGAGAAAAAGUGACUCAGCAAAACCGAAGAAACAUCUGGCAGGAGUUCUCCCUUCCCUUCCAUCAUGUGAAGACACAAAGAAAAAAAUGGCCAUAAGAAACCAGGAAACUGAAUCAGGAAGCCAGUCUUUGCUAGACACCAAAUUGAUCGGAAUCAUAAUCUUGGACAUAUGGAUCUGCUGGACCAGUGGUGCCAACAUUCAGAUCAAACUGGAGCACAGAGGAGAAGCAAAGCCCAGAGCAAAGGGCUGAGGUGGGUGAGCAGAGGAGGUGAUGGGCCUUGGAAGACAGGAAUCCUGGAGCACCACUGACAGGAUGCCAGAUGUUCAUACACGAGCCUAUAGAAGACACUUCUCAUUCACACCAUCACAGACAAGAACAAAUCUUGAUGCUGGAUCUACAACAAACUAGUCCUUGGUGUGUGGCUAGAGGAGGAAAGUGACCUGGGAAGGCUAUCUAGACACAUGGAGAAGGACAGAGGAUUGAAGUUUGCAGAAAGAGAAGACCAUGGUAAAAUCUAGUUCUGUGUGUGGUUCCAAUGGGUCCUAAAAGACAGAACAGCUAAGGAUAAAUUGGAUCUUGUGGAGUUUCUCAUUUCUUUGGGUUAAAGCAAGAAACGAAGCUACUGUUGACAUGAGAGAUACAUAUCAGUGAUUCAGAUCAAUUUCCCAAACUUUGUUUUCUCUAUCAUCAAGGUUACUCACGGUUUCAGUCUAGCUUGCUCUGACAUAAGCAUCAUUUGCUAGGAAUUUGCCUUUAUCACUGCUCUAAAGCCUAGAAGCUCAGUGUUAUGUGAAACUAUUUUGGGGAAGAUAUGAACAAAAGUCUACUCACCUCAGAUAGGGAACUGGUAACAGAUCAAAGUAAUAAUGCCACCAAAGCCCAACUUGGUAAACAAAUGAGAUUUUAUGGUGUUACUUAAAGGAAUAUGGGUGAAAGAAUUCUUGUAGAAGUAGGGUGACUUAAAGGCAGCCUCAUCACCAAAGCCCACCCAGCAUGAAUGAAGAUUCACAAAAGCUGGGACCCUGGAGCUCUCUGCACAAUUUGUAGCCAGCUUGACAGCUGACAUCAUGUCUCAGUGGAAAAGCAGAUCAUCAUUUGGAAACUCAGUGGAUCUCAGGACCAGGCUAUGAUCUUCCCGACAUUGAAAAUGGCCAGAAAAUACCACUUAUUAGCCACCAAGUAUUAACUCACUUAGUGAUCCCGUUUGUGGCAGAUAGGAAUGUACCUUUUAGAGAUGGGUUAACUGAAGCUAAGGCAGUUGGACACGUUGUUCAGAAGUCACAGAACUGGACAUUAGUGGGCUAGAGCUCCACCUGACUAUUGGAGCCUUUAAGCACAACCUCAUAACUAACUACAGUGCUACACUGCCUGUCAUACUGAGUGUGCAGAAUACACACCUCCCAUGGGAACACUGGAAAAACUGCAGCAUGGGGCUGG